AUCCAGCUGACAAGUCUCAAAUAGGGCGAAACACGGGUAUUGGAU
rfam:Schistosoma curassoni strain Dakar, Senegal genome assembly, scaffold: SCTD_contig0000398